rnacentral:rRNA from 1 species
ACAGCAGUAGCCACGGUAAUACGAAGGGUGCAAGCGUUACUCGGAAUUACUGGGCGUAAAGCGUGCGUAGGUGGUGGUUUAAGUCCGUUGUGAAAGCCCUGGGCUCAACCUGGGAAUUGCAGUGGAUACUGGGUCACUAGAGUGUGGUAGAGGAUAGUGGAAUUUCCGGUGUAGCAGUGAAAUGCGUAGAGAUCGGAAGGAACAUCUGUGGCGAAGGCGACUAUCUGGGCCAACACUGACACUGAGGCACGAAAGCGUGGGGAGCAAACAGGAUUAGAUACCCGAGUAGUCCCUGUCUCUUAUAC